UGCUCACUUCGGCAGCCAUAUACUAAAGUUGGAACAAUACAGAGAAGAUUAGCAUUGCCCCUGCGCAAGGAUGACACAGAAAUUCGUGAAGCAUUCCAUAUUUUC